rnacentral:lncRNA from 1 species
GUGCUUUUGUGAGCGAGGCCCGAUGGGGGCAAAGACAGAGGAAGCACCGCAGGCCUUCCCGCUGGCUGCCAUGGGGACAGCUGCAGGGAUUCUGGCGGGCAUGCUGAGAAGGGACUGCCAUGGCAGCCAAAGAACGUUCAGUGUCGACACUGACAGCUUUCAUCCCUUUAUUUAGUUCAUUUUAACUCAAUCUGAUCUGCCAGCUCCUCUUUUCCAUGAAAGAAGGGAAUGCCAACUUGGGUCUAGAGGGGGUACCGCUGAGCUGCACAGCGCGCGAGAAAAGAAAAGGACCACAUUUUUCAAGGGGCUGAUGUUCUGCGUUUCACUCAAGGUCACUUAGAAGCAUUGAGAGCUGCCAUCCUUGCCCAGUUUGCCACCUCCUUGGCCCUCGGGGAGGAGGCGAGCCUCUCAAGGGACCCAGUGGUUUGGUUGAAGUAAAUCCAAGUCACCAGAGGCCGGAUAUGACCCCAAAGGGAAGUUUCAUCAACUUUCAUUUCCAUUCACUCCUGGGCCACUGGCCUGCCGGGGAUACUGCUGAGCCGUCAGAAAUGAGUCAGGAAAACUUUGAAAAGUGUGGGUUUCCCCCGCAGAGCCCAGAACACCCCAGAGACGUCGCCAACACUAAGAUGGGCACAGGAGCAACCGUUCCAAGAUGGGAACUGAUGGGGGUUCUCCUGACUCUCAGAUCCAGUGAGGUGAAAGAUGAGAUGGAAGAGUUAAAAAAAAAACAAGUGGAAUCCAUUUGAAAUUUGGAGUGACUUCUGCUGUGAAAUUCCCAGAAAAACAAAUCUGAAACUCAUUCAUUAAAUUCAAGCAAACACCUUCAGUUGUAAUUUGAACUUCAUUCCACUUGUUGAAACAUUAAUAGUCUUGUUGAGUCAAGGACAAAUCUUCAAACAUCUUAUCUGAGUUAAGC